AAGAAUCAUCUGAGGCUGGAAAUGAUGUUAUUCAAAAUUCAACCAACUCCACAAACAACGUUGGUGAAGAGGCUACUGAGACUUCAAAUUUAACGUCUCAUGCAUCAGAGGAAGCUAAAAGCCAAAUUUGAACAUAAAUCACCUGUAUUUUCUUGGCAGAACCUACUCGCGAAAUGUUGGAAAUCUUAUCCAGCAGGAAGCUCAAUCAUGCAACUUCUUAGGUGCUCAAACACUUGUUCCUACAUACCACUUGUUUUUAUUAAUUUCUUUUCUGACAGCGAAUUUUUUUUAUCGGAUGUCCCCAAGGGAACACAGUAAAUAAUUUUUUAGUCAUACAAUUUUAUAAGAUAAAUGACAAUACCAUGUUCUUGUAUUUGUCACUAUGGAGCAAUACGCUUUCUGACAUCAAUUAAUAUCA
rnacentral:misc_RNA from 1 species